CUUCUUCCUACUCUCUGCCUCUCUCUUUUAUUCUCUCUGAAAUCCUCUUGCAUCAUAGGCAAAUAUUACUCUUUAUCUGUGUAACCCAUUAACCUCAAUUUAACUAAUCGAAUUAUGGGUCUAGUUUUAACUUUACUUGCUAAUUAGUUUAUCCGAAUUUGUAGUUUGCGGGAUGUAUCCACUUAUCAAGGAUUAUAUGAAUAGCUUGAAUUGGGUAUUUGGGUGUAUGAUGAUUGAUGAUGCGGUGGUAUUAGGACUGACUAGUAAUCUAUUCUAAUAUUUAAUAGCAGUCAUGUUGGAGUGCCACGUGGCGCCCUCUUGAAAUUCCAAGAUGUAAUUCCAUUUAUAAAAAAAAGAUUAAUAAGUGAUUUGAACCGGCAAAAUCUCAGUAUGGCAUCCAAUCUCCAAGCGACGCUUUUUCUCCCGACUUCAAGCUAUUGAAAAUUUGAAACAAUUGAUUUCAACUUCUCUCAUCAAAAUCCUAACCAUUUUAUUUCUUCCUGUUUACUCGAUCUCCCAUCUUCCAAUUUAAAGUUCCUCAAUUUUUGAGAUCUCAUCCUGAUUAAUCUUUCAGAUAUUUGGAAAGAGAUGAAGAAGAAGAGAAAAGGAAAUGAUGAAGUCUCAUUGGGUAUAUUGGGUUUGAUUGUUUUGUAUCUUUUCGAUGGUUGAUUCAUCUUUUUUUUUUCCUGUAAUUUCUAACCGUUCUCAAUUUCAAUUUCAUCCAAUCCUCCAUUGUUCUUCUCCUUCCUAUUUCCAGUUUGCUUCAUCAUUUUUUAUUUAUAUGUUUUGUUCGACAAUGAUAGUUCAUUUUUGAUAUUAAAGAUUUUUACUAACUCUACUCCCCACCCCUUUCUCCUUUCCUUAAUAUCAUACUUUCAUACCCCCAAUUUAAUUGUGAUGGAUUGUAAUUGUACUUUACAGUAUUCUUCCAUUUUUAUUGCCUUUUCUUUCAUAAUCUUUUUAUCUUUUGAUUGUGAUGCUCGCCUCUCAUGUUGUGGGUUUGCUUAAUCUUUCUUUUUUACAUUAGAAAUUGGGUAUGGUUUGAAAUAAGCAUGCACUGGUUUCUGGUGUAGCAUUCAUACGAAGUAAAUUGAAGUUCCAUGCAUGGAGAGUCACGUGGAGAUUGGAAAAUUAUCACUUUAACUUUUUUAUACAUAGCAGCCUUGCAGGGGAUGAGUUCCUAUAUUGGUUUUAAUUUCACCGCUUAUAUGGAGGUAGAUUAGAAGUUAUAAUUUCUAUUAACAUGACUUGCCAUUAGGCUACAUAAAUACUCUCUUAUCUAAAGUUUCUAAAAGUAAGAUACUAGACUUCCAUAAUUUUAUCGAGACUUCAAGAUGAAUAUUGUUGCUUUGAUAUGAUAUUAGCUAUAUGCCUACAAGGUAUUUGGAAAUAGAAUUGUUUUUAUUUGUUAUCAGAUGGUAGUUGAAACUCACAGAUCAAUAAAUCUCGGGAGAAGAGGAAAGGGUGAAAUAAAUGGGAGCACACUAUUGACUAUUUUGUGAAUGUGUACUUGAAUAAAGUUCAAAUUUCAUAACAACUAUUAUUCUUUUUGCUUUAAUUUAGUGAAUUUGAUAUGUUUUUGGUUUAUAUGGUAUACAAUCUCUACACUAUCAUGUUCCUCUAUACCUUUUUCCCAAUUACUUUUUUGAUGACUUAGGACUUACUACCUCAGUUUCAUAUUACGGUGACUAUUUGCACAAAUAUUAAGACAAAAGUAAUAACGUUGGUUGAAUAUAAUAAAAUAUGAAUAAAGUAAGAGAAAUGAGUAAAAAAGUGGGUGGGUAUAAGAAAAAAAUGAAUAAAGAAAGAGAAAAUGAGUAGAAUAUUGUAAAUAUUGUGGGGGUGAGAAAUGUAAGAUAGUAAAUUUUCAUGUCUAAAAAUAGAAUAAAGAAAAGUUUAAAGAACAUUGUGAAACGGCCUAAAACAGAAAGUGUAAAGAUCAUUUUGAAUCAAAGUAGUACAAAACUUACUAAUGAAUGAUCCGUUGUGUUUCCCAAACUCAAACAAUAAUUUUACUAAUGAAUGAUCCGUUGUGUUUCCCAAACUCAAACAGUAAUUUUACUUCCCUUUACAACUUAUAUUACUCUCUUUGUUUUUCUAUAAGAAACACCGAAUGAAUAUAAAUACAAUCUUAUGAACAUAAUUGUUGAUCCUAAAGUUUUGAUGAUGACAAAGCAAACUCCUGACAAUUGGUUAAGUUAUGUUGCAUAAUAGGUUCCGAGAUCCUUAGAGGGAUAAUGCUAAGUUAAGGAGAUCCUGAGUUGGAUAAACUAAGCAACGUGGAAUAUAAGCAAGUAAUUGAUCCAUGUCAGACACUACAUUGAAGAAAUAAUCAUUAUGCAAGGCGAGAUCCUUAGGCGAGUUCCUAAGGCGAGAUCCUCAUAUAUUAUGUGGAUCCUCGGCGUUCCAGAGAAGGAACAAAUCGGGAAGUCUUCGAGUGAAGCUUCUAAAGGUGCAACAUGAAGACUACAACAUAUGAGUUUAUGUUUUAGGAUUUAUGUAAGUAUUUAAUAAAGUUUAUAAGUAAUUUGGUAUGAAAGGGACAUAGUAUUUUGGUACGUUUUAAAUGAAAUAUGUUAACUGUAAUUAUGAAAGAGUUUUAACUUGGAAAAUCUUUUUAAUAAAUAAAAUGUAUUUAAUUAAUAAAUGAAACAUAGGAUUCUGAUUUACUCUCCUUGUUUCUCAAGUAAAAGUUUUUCCACGUUCCUUGAAACUCUCCCCACGUAUUUCUGUUCAACGUACAUUUAGUGUUUUGAUUUGGUCUCCCUUGUUUCUCUCCAACCAUGCCCAUGUUACUGAGCAGUAACUGUUAGUGGGUGGUUGAGGGAAACAUGGGUACCAAACCCUAAGUAAAACUCUCCUAUAAAAGGAGAAGAGUUUUAGCUUUUCAAAACACACAACUGAUCUUUGCAAAAUAUAUUUUAAGAGCUUAAACGUUUUAAAAGAGAAUCAGUUUUCAAAAGAGUGUCCCUUGAGUUCCUUAAUGCUUUGAGCUUUAUUACGUACUAGAGUUUUAUAUCAAAUUGUAUUUUGGGUUUAAGGGUUGAGUGAUCCUUAAUUGACUUAGAGUUAAGUCAAAGAGAAACAGAGCGACUUAGAGUUAAGUCAAAGAGAAAAGGAGCGACUUAGAGUUAAGUCAGAGAGAGAAAGAGGAGCACAGUAAUCAAAGGGGAUUGCUGUGGGGAACUCGUGUUCGAGAGGAACUCGAGUUAAAGAGUGUAUUUGUAAUAGAGUUAUUGCAUUAAUACAAAAGAGUAGUGAGGUUCUUCUUGAUUAGGGUCAAGAAGGUUCCUCCAUUUUAUA